rnacentral:ncRNA from 1 species
AACAACGAACUGCGAGAAGUCAGCAGAGGCCAUAGUACCUGUGGGAUUGAUACAUACAGGGAAGGGC